rnacentral:rRNA from 2 species
AACGCGAAGAACCUUACCUGGGCUUGAACUACUCGUGGUAGUUCGCUGGAAACAGUGGACGACCCGCAAGGGAGCGAGCAGAGGUGCUGCAUGGUUGUCGUCAGCUCGUGUCGUGAGAUGUUGGGUUAAGUCCCGCAACGAGCGCAACCCCUAUCCAAUGUUGCUACUCCCGCAAGGGAGGCACUCUUUGGAAACUGCCUUCGAUAAGAAGGAGGAAGGUGGGGACGACGUCAAAUCCUCAUGGCCCUUAUGUCCAGGGCUACACACGUGUUACAAUGGCCGGUACAAUGGGAAGCAAUACCGUAAGGUGGAGCCAAACCCCAAAGCCGGCCCCAGUUCAGAUUGUGGGCUGCAACUCGCCCACAUGAAGGCGGAAUCGCUAGUAAUCGCUGAUCAGCAGGCAGCGGUGAAUACGUUCCCGGGCCUUGUA